rnacentral:rRNA from 1 species
AUUGAACGCUGGCGGCAGGCUUAACACAUGCAAGUCGAGCGAGCGGCGGACGGGUGAGUAAUGUCUGGGAAACUGCCUGAUGGAGGGGGAUAACUACUGGAAACGGUUGCUAAUACCGCAUACCAUCGGAUGUGCCCGGGUGGGAUUAGCUAGGGGGUGGGGUAAAGGCUCACCUAGGCGACGAUCCCUAACUGGUCUGAGAGGAUGACCAGCCACACUGGAACUGAGACACGGUCCAGACUCCUACGGGAGGCAGCAGUGGGGAAUAUUGCACAAUGGGCGCAAGCCUGAUGCAGCCAUGCCGCGUGUGUGAAGAAGGCCUUCGGGAUGUAAAGUACUUUAAGUCGGGAGGCGUUACCGACAGAAGAAGCACCGGCUAACUCCGUGCCAGCAGCCGCGGUAAUAC